UUUCCGAAAGCACCGAAAAAGUAUUAACGAGAAAGGAAAGUCAGCUGACAAUGCGAUGAAAACGCAAUAGUACUGUAUCUCUUUAUCCAGAUAUGGUUAUCCACAACAAAUCUGGAUGUGAUACGAAAUCUUUGUAAACAUCAUCAAUGCUUCUGGGCGGGAUUAUUUCCGCCCUUACCUCCUUUUUGCUAAUAGUGGUGGAACCGGUGCUAUCGAUAAUGUGUGUAAAAUGUGAGGGUGCCGACCAGUGCGCACGGGCGGCAAACAUGACUAUCGUAUCAUGCUCAAAAGAGCACAAAUGUCAAACCGAAUUUGAGGGCAACGAUCCUGGUGGGAUCCCAUUGAGAAGAGGCUGUGUAGAGGACUGGAGUGAGGAACCAGGCUGUGAUUAUAAAGGUGGUCCUGGCUUAGGAGGCGGUAAAACUGUUUGUAUUUGCGGGAGAUUGGAAGGCGGUGAUUACUGCAACGGCGUUUCAACUUUACAAAAAUUCCCUGCACCGGGUUCCCGAGGCUGCGACGGAGCAUCUUCAAUCAAAAUCGGAGUUGGACUUGUCUUGUGUUUCCUUUUUGUGACCUUUAUAAUAUCUAAAGAACACCCGAAGCAAUAGACAGCCAACGCCGAGCUUGUUGUCCUGCAUUCCGUCUCGCAUUAGCUCGGUCUUGAGUUGCGACUUCCGUUGCACGGACAACUAACAGGAUUUCGAUGAGAGUAACUAGCAAAUUUAGUUAAUUUGUUCUUAAAUUUUAGGAUUUUAUUAAUUUUGGAAAUGUAAAACGUUGGGAAAUCACAAACUUCAUAUUUGUCCUGGUGUUUUUUACCGGAUUUACCAUUUUUUGUUCAGCGACUUUGUUGCAUUAUUAAACAAUAAAAUAA